rnacentral:lncRNA from 1 species
GUCCUUACGGGAAUUAUAAUACUGCCCUUAAUAUAGAAAUGUUACUGAUUUCAUAGAGAGAAUUUGUAAAAAGCAAAUAUGUUCAGCAAAAUAGGAUCUACAAAUGAGUCAAUAAGGCAGAAAUUAUCAUCUGACUUCUUUAAAAAGUUAUUACCCUUGAAAGAUCAUUUUUGUUGAGCCUGCAACUUUUGUCACAGAAAGCUUGACAUAGGGAUAGUGAUCUGGCAGCUACAGCGGGGGCAGUGUUGGCUAACUUCAUGAGAAAUUUGAUUACUAUAUUUUGUAUGUGUGUACUUUGCAAGGUCCUCAUGCCCAUCAGACAUUUUUCACUUGACCUCGACCUCAUUUUAUGGAUCAGUGAACAAGGUUAAGUUUUGGUGGUCAAGUCCAUAUCUCAGAUACUAUAAGCAAUAGGUCUGGUAUAUUUGGUGUAAGAUAUACAUGUCCAAAUGGCAGGUGUCAUCUGACCUUGACCUCAUUGUCAUGGUUCAGUGGCUAAAGUAAGGUUUUUAUACAACCGC